GACGAACCAUGAUGUCAUUUAUUUGGUGUUGUGGGGAAUCAGGACUGUUACUUUGAAAAAAUUAGAGCGUUUAAAGCAGGCUCACGCUUGAAUACAUUAGCAUGGAAUAAUGAAAUAGGACGUUUGAUUCUAUUUUGUUGGUUUCUAGGAUCGACGUAAUGAUUAAUAGGGAUAGUUGGGGGCAUUAGUAUUCAAUUGUCAGAGGUGAAAUUCUUGGAUUUAUUGAAGACUAACUACUGCGAAAGCAUUUGCCAAGGAUGUUUUCGUUAAUCAAGAACGAAAGUUAGGGGAUCGAAGACGAUCAGAUACCGUCGUAGUCUUAACCAUAAACUAUGCCGACUAGGGAUCGGAUGAUGUUAAUUUUUUAAUGACUCAUUCGGCGCCUUACG
rnacentral:rRNA from 1 species